CACGGGGGGAGCAAGCGUUGUUCGGAAUCACUGGGCGUAAAGGGCGUGUAGGCGGUCGAGUAAGUGGAAUGUGAAAUACUCCGGCUCACCCGGAGCACUGCAUCCCAAACUGCUCGGCUUGAGUAUGGGAGAGGACAAGGGAAUUCCUGGUGUAGCGGUGAAAUGCGCAGAUAUCAGGAGGAACACCGGUGGCGAAGGCGGCUUGCUGGGCCAGUUCUGACGCUGAGGAGCGAAAGCGUGGGGAGCGAACAGG
rnacentral:rRNA from 1 species